GCUGGAGGCUGUCCUCGUGGGACUGGGUGAUGAAGGUCGCGAGGGCUGUAGAGGAAGGGUUGAAUUACAAUAUGCGCAGCUGUUGAUGUUUUCUUUUUCCACGCCAGGUAACGCCAUGGCCUUAGCAAUCUGAGAACAACUAAGUACAUACAAACUUCUCCCAUAAUGAUUUGUGCUGAAGCUUCAACAAAAGAGGAUGAUUUAAUUUUCAGUCCAUUAAAUAUCACCCUCUAAAGCUCUGUCUUUCUCAUGCAAUGCAUGACCGCAGUUCUGAAGUCCUCUACCUGUGAAGAGCUCUGCUGAACUCAAUAGAAUUAUUUGUUACUUAGUGAAACCAGGAAUCAAAUACAUCCCCCAUAAUGUAUCAUUCUCUGUUUGUCAUCCGUGGGAAAAACAGAAGCAGCUCUGAACACUUAAGUGAUUUUGGGCCAAUUGCCUGCUGAUUUAAGGAAACUACAACUUCUUGUGGAUGUUCAUUUUGAUGCUCUGGGCGAGGAAGACAUUCCUGAGACAAAUAUAAAACAACAGAGAGAUGGAAAGCUGUAUCAAAUGUUGUGGAGAAAAAUGCUCAUCACGUGAAGAAGUUGAGAGGAUGACAGUUCAGCGCUUUGAACAGACUGUAUGCUUGCAACAAAAUACCAGGUGGUGAUUAAACAGGGAGACCUUGGAGCAUGACCACUAGUCGCUGCCACUUAGCCCAGUCACCAGUUCCAGCCUGGCUCACAGAGCAUCCUGCCUCAGGCAAGAUAUCUGACCUGGGAGUCUGCCUCACACAGAUGGAUGCUGUGCUAAGGACUGCUCAACCUGUCUCCCCAUGGGCCCUGGGAGCAGCUCGCAAAGGCACAGGAUGACAGAGUUGGCAACUCACUUCAUCGGGACCCCUUCUUGAUUUGCUGCUCAAUAAAGUCUGGGGUGUUUUGCUACUG